rnacentral:rRNA from 1 species
AGAACUUAGCAGAGAUGCUUUGGUGCCUUCGGGAACUCUGAGACAGGUGCUGCAUGGCUGUCGUCAGCUCGUGUUGUGAAAUGGUUGGGUUAAGUCCCGCAACGAGCGCAACCCUUAUCCUUUGUUGCCAGCGGUCCGGCCGGGAACUCAAAGGAGACUGCCAGUGAUAAACUGGAGGAAGGUGGGGAUGACGUCAAGUCAUCAUGGCCCUUACGAGUAGGGCUACACACGUGCUACAAUGGCGCAUACAAAGAGAAGCGACCUCGCGAGAGCAAGCGGACCUCAUAAAGUGCGUCGUAGUCCGGAUUGGAGUCUGCAACUCGACUCCAUGAAGUCGGAAUCGCUAGUAAUCGUGGAUCAGAAUGCCACGGUGAAUACGUUCCCGGGCCUUGUACACACCGCCCGUCACACCAUGGGAGUGGGUUGCAAAAGAAGUAGGUAGCUUAACCUUCGGGAGGGCGCUUACCACUUUGUGAUUCAUGACUGGGGUGAAGUCGUAACAAGGUAGGCGUAGUGCU